AAAAAAUCAGUGCGAAGCGGACAUUCAAACAAUCACAAGUAAUAUUAAGCAAAUGCCGACAGUCAUCUGCAUUUGUAUGUUGUGUGAUCACGUGUCAGAAGUAUGAUCGGCUCGUGGCGAUCUUGUGUUGACCAGGAGUAACGGGACCUAUUAAAAAUCUUUACUUACAAAUUAUUAAUCACCGUUUUCGUCAAACAUUUCGUGCGGGAAGCACAAGCGACAACGCCUCAGUAGCAAAUGUACAUGUUGGAGGGCGGUCGAUUUUGUCGCAGGCGACUACUAGAAUAUUACGCCAACUCUCCAUUACGUUGUCUCUUCGAAACAAUAUUCAGAUGCGGAACUUGAAAGAUACGAAGAAAGAAUGAAGAUACUAUACCAAGGAAAAAGUUCACAACUUUCUUCAUCACUGAUUUAAGUUAGCAAUGCAGUACAUCAUUUUAUUAAAAGAAAUGCCUCGUCAUUUGUCUGGUAUUCAUCACUGAUUUAGAUGGAAGCCUAUCGAGUCUGGUCAGAAAAGCAAGCCUUGAGAAAAUGUACGAGUGGGUGGAUGGCUUCAAUUAUAAAAUUCCAAUUCCACAUUUUAAAAAGUAUUUCAUACGAGAUGAAUACACCUCCAUCAAUUUCAAUGAACUAAAGCAGAUAGAAGAUGAAUACAAAAAACAAACCGAUAAUUUAUAUGAAGGAUUUCAUAUUAUAUGUGAUGCUAACGAAGUAAGACUUCUUGGAAGCUGUAAUCCUCCAGUAUUCUGGUUUGUGGAAUAUUCAAAACUCAGAGACAGCUAUUAUUAACUCUCUUUUUCUCGUAUUCACAUUUACUUUUGUGGUGUGUUAAUACAUGUAA